rnacentral:rRNA from 1 species
UACGAAGGGGCUAGCGUUGCUCGGAAUCACUGGGCGUAAAGCGCACGUAGGCGGAUCGUUAAGUCAGGGGUGAAAUCCUGGAGCUCAACUCCAGAACUGCCUUGAUACUGGCGAUCUCGAGUCCGGAAGAGGUGAGUGGAACUCCUAGUGUAGAGGUGGAAUUCGUAGAUAUUAGGAAGAACGACCAGUGGCGAAGGCGGCUCACUGG